rnacentral:rRNA from 1 species
GAUGAACGCUGGCGGCGUGCCUAAUACAUGCAAGUCGAGCGAACGGACGAGAAGCUUGCUUCUCUGAUGUUAGCGGCGGACGGGUGAGUAACACGUGGAUAACCUACCUAUAAGACUGGGAUAACUUCGGGAAACCGGAGCUAAUACCGGAUAAUAUUUUGAACCGCAUGGUUCAAAAGUGAAAGACGGUCUUGCUGUCACUUAUAGAUGGAUCCGCGCUGCAUUAGCUAGUUGGUAAGGUAACGGCUUACCAAGGCAACGAUGCAUAGCCGACCUGAGAGGGUGAUCGGCCACACUGGAACUGAGACACGGUCCAGACUCCUACGGGAGGCAGCAGUAGGGAAUCUUCCGCAAUGGGCGAAAGCCGACGGAGCAACGCCGCGUGAGUGAUGAAGGUCUUCGGAUCGUAAAACUCUGUUAUUAGGGAAGAACAUAUGUGUAAGUAACUGUGCACAUCUUGACGGUACCUAAUCAGAAAGCCACGGCUAACUACGUG